GCGCGUCUGUGUUUGUGUUUGUGUUUAAUCUGUUGAACACUGACGUCUACUCGGCCUCUCUUGAGGCUCUCCUGCCCGUUCGGUUGCUACACUUAUUUCUACUUCAACUGUUGUUGUUGUCCACCUGGUAAAUAAUGACGCGACCGCCAUUAUUAAUUCCCAUUGGUCGAGCGGGUCUCCCUCCUCCCUCCCCUCGAGUCCCGCCGGUUCAGACCUUCAGGAGACCAGACGACCAUCCUCCACACUCAGCAUGGGGGCGUUGGGACUGCUGCUGCUGCUGGGGCUCCUCUCCGGGGGGUCUGCAGUGAUUCACUCUCUGAGGUAUUUCGACACGGGGUCGUCUGGCCUCUCAUCCUUCCCAGAGUUUGUGUCUGUUGGGAUGGUGGAUGAGGUUCAGUUUGUUCACUAUGACAGCGUCAGUGAGAGAGCCGUACCCAAACAGGCCUGGAUGGACCAGCUCACCAGAGACCGCCCAAACUACUGGGACACGGAGACUAGAAUAUAUCAGGGUGACCGGCAGGUCUUCAAGGUCAACAUAGAGAUUGUUAAGAAGCGCUUCAACCAGACGGGAGGUGCCCACGUGUAUCAGAGGAUGUCUGGCUGUGAGUGGGAUGAUGAGGAUGAUACUACUUAUGGUCAUGAACAGUAUGCCUACGAUGGAGAGGACUUCCUAGCGUUUGACCUGAAGACCCUGACCUGGGUCGCUGCAGUACGUCAGGCUGUCCCCUCCAAACUGAGAUUGGAUCAGAAUAGAGCUGGUAAUCAACGCAAGAAGAACUACCUCACCAAGGAGUGUGUUGAUUUGCUGAAGAAGCUGCUGGCCUAUGGGAAGAGCACUCUGCAGAGAACAGAGCGUCCGCGGGUGUCUCUGCUCCAGAGGAGCCCCUCCUCCCCAGUGGUGUGCCAUGCUACAGGCUUCUACCCUGACAGGGUGGUGGUGUUCUGGAGGAGAGACGGCCAGGAGCUCCAUGAGCAGGUGGACCCCGGGGAGGUCCUCCCCAACCACGACGGGACCUUCCAGGUCAGCGUGGACCUGGACCUCACGGCCGUCCCACAGGAGGACUGGGGGAGGUACGAGUGUGUGGUCCAGCUGAAAGGCAUCGAGGACAUCCCCAUCCCCCUGGACCCCGCCCUCAUCAGGACCAACGGGGGCAAGAGUCACCUCCUUGUUUUCAUCCUCGUUGGUGUCGCUGUUGCUGCUGUUGUUGUUGUUGCUGCUGCUGUUGUUGGAGUCUUUGUGUACCAGAAGAGGAACGAUUCAGACUAGCGUCACAAACCAGUUGGUUCUUCUGACAGCUGCUCUGGGAACACUGAGGGGCAGAAUCCGGCUCCUGAGGCCCAACCUUUGACCACAGCCGUGACUGCCCUCUAGUGGAGGAGAUGAGAGCAGAGGAAGACGGGCAGGAUGGGCCUACAACUGGUGUACAGUAUUAUGUAUAAAUGUUAACGUUUGAGAUAAUGCUUUAUAAUCUACGGUUGGUUUAUAGAGUAACUAAUGUACUGUUACUGAUAUUUACUGAUGUUAUUAUGCAGUUUUUGCUGUUGCGGGUGGAUAAUUCUCUAUGUAAUCUACCGUUGGUUUAUAAAGUAACCAAUACACUUACAAAUACAUCACAGAUGUUAUUAAGCAGCUGUUUUAGGUGGAGAAUGAGAUUGCAACCAAACUAUUAAAUAAAUAAAGAAUUUUUGUACGGUGAACUUUG